GUAUUUUAUUUAUGUCGUGGACAAUUGCCAUUGACAUUCCAGAUGAAGAUGACAACAACUCAAAUAAGUCAUUAUCAGACGAUUAUGAAACCACGUUGCUAUUGGAUGAUGACGAGGACGACGAAGAUGUCCAGUCAACGGUCAAUCCAACAAAGCNAAAAACAAAAAUGUUUAACGCAGGUGUUAUUAAGAGGACUGAAACAGAAUUGGUAUGCCGAAAAACGUUCGAGUACGAAGGCCAAAAGUUGUCGCACUGUUACGACGACUCGCACUGCAAGUUGUACGGCGACUGCUGUCUGGACAGUAAGUUCUAUGAUGAGCCAGGGCAAACUGUUGCCAUCGCCGGCAGCGUGUACAACAACAGCCGGUACGGGUGUUACAAUAAGCACGGCAUGGACAUGGUGCAAGCGUUGCUGAUCGGCAGGUGUCCGCGGGUGGCGUCAUUUGCUGAUCGCGAUGUACGCGAAAAGUGUGAACGGCGCGAAGAUGAUUUCAUAUCCGCCUAUCCUGUGUCCAGCAGCGACGGCCAACACGCAUAUAAGAACGUCUGGUGUGCAUUGUGCAACGGUGAACGUUGGCAGAUUGUAUACUGGAAACCACUGUUCGUGUGUUACGGUCGCGACAGACGGGUUUUACCGAUGCANAUUCGGCUGGAGAACGCGUCCGACCACACCCUGUUGUAUCGCGACGGCCAGUGGUACUACGCCGACUACAAAAACCGGACGUUAUUCACGUGCGACUACAGGAUCCGUCCACCGGAUGUGGCCGUCACACCGCCAUUGAGGCCGUGCGUCGGCGAGGGAUUCACCGGGAUCGUGGACGGGUGUCCCGUCGGCACACCAACCGCCAUGGCCUUGGCGUGCGCGUCAUACACCUACACCCUUUUCGAGUACCAACCAAGCGGAGACCAGGAUAGGCGCGUUUUUCGAAACGUCGACUGCGCCCGGUGCAACGGGUUGACCACAAAUCAGUUGACAUGCGAACCACCGCCUCCACCGUUACGCAGCGGUGUGUUAGGGUUCGCAUCGCUGUUCGCAGUCAGUAAGGCUGGAAAACUACGUGACCCAUGCCCCCCAGACGAAAUAUAUGACGUAACCGCGGUCAAGUGUAGGAACGUGAUUCGGGAAGAGCUGUCGGGUGCAUGCUUGACGUUCGUUACGUUCGGCCAAGGGGAAUACGACGGUCGGACUGUGGGCAACGGCACAGCUUACGUGUACGCGUACAAGAAACGUGUCCGAUACAGAGUGGGAGACCGCACGACGGUCAUGGCCACGGGUAUCGGAUCUCCACUGCAAGUGUGCACUGAGGACGCAGACGGACUGCUCAGACCAUACCAACAAUCAGCUUACGCGGUGUACCUGUCGUACGCGGGCGUGAUUGGAUCGUGCGUUUCUGCCGCGGCGCUGAUCGCGCAUCUCAUACUGUUUGGAUUCUGUGGAUGUUGUACGGGCGCUGAACCCAAGAACCUUCCCGAAAAGAACCUGGCCAGUCUUUCCACAGGUUUACUGAUUGGCUACGUGGGCUACCUUUCCGUGGCACUGCGAGCCGUGUCCCCAGGCAGUGGACUUCCGUGCCUGGUGUCCGCGCUCAUCACACAAUUCGGUUUCCUAGCCGCUUUUGCGUGGAUGUUUGUCAUGUCUGCUGAUGUGUGGAUCGUGCUGCACGCGUCAACAAAGAAGCUCCGAGUGGCCGGAGGCCAGCGUCACGGUCGGUUCAUCGUCUAUUCAAUGUUUGCGUGGCUUGCACCCGCCGCACUCACUGCGCUGUCCNCUACCAUACAAUUACAGUUGGCCGGUGGUGCAUUGUUUCCCGAGCUCCGGCCCAACUUUCAUUACGACUGUUGGUUCCGGAACCCGCAGUCAUUAGUCGCGCUGUUCGUGCUUCCAGCCGGGACCGCAAUCGCCGCUAACUAUGUGUCGUUUUUCGGCGCUGUCCGGCUGAUCGCCACUUCCGAUAAUGGGUUCAAGACGUCUGGCAGUGGGGGCAGUUGCAGCAACGCCACCGGCGUCAACCGGACGCGCAGGAAUCUCAAGAUCUACGUACGGCUGUCGCUGAUGAUGGGCCUGGCGUGGGUUUUCGCGCUGGUGGGCGCGAUCACUGACAGCGACAUUGCGUGGACGCUUAACACAGCCCUCAACUCGCUGCAGGGCGCUUUCAUAUUCGUCGCGUUUGACUGCAACCAAAUAUCCAUUCAAAAGUUUGCCGUGUUCCGCAAACAACUGUCCGUAUCAGAGACGCAGACCACUGCCGCCACGCCACUCAGUGCAUCCACAUAGCGGGCGCCUGGUUAAAAGUUCCAAACACAUAUUAUUGUGUACCUUAUCUCUGCGGUAGUGUGUUGCUAUUACUCAUCUAUACCAGAAUCCUAUGGNAUAUUUCUCACUGAUGUUUGUUCGCAAUGCAAUUGACUGUAAUCACGGAGGUUUGAAUGUCACACACAACUAUUUUUGUUCAUUAUUAUAGUGAGUUUUAUUGUUCCACUUUAAUCCCAAUUCUAUAUUACUUUUUUUCAUAUAAUAGCCAAUAGAGAUAUUUUAAUUGUUAUAUUUUCUUUCG
rnacentral:misc_RNA from 1 species